ACGACCAGAUAACGGUGAAACAUCGGUUCCCGUACGAUCACAAAAGUUAAGCAAAGACGGGACUGUUCAGUUCCUAAUAUGGUUAACCGCUUGGGAAUACCAGGUGCUGUAAU